AUAUAUAUAUCCUCCUUCUACUAGAAUUGUGUAUUUUCUUAGUUUCCAAACACACAAUAAGUUCUGUAUUAAUGGAUCCAUGUACAAGUUUCUUGCCCCUAUUAAUGGAAAUUUGAAAGGUUGGCAAAAUAUCAAACACCUUGUGUGCAAUGAAGGUUCUUGAAGAUUUUGGCUAUGUAGAUUUCAAGAAAAUGUUAAUUAUGCAAAUGCAGAUAGUUGGUUUUGUUAACAGCUAUUUUGGGUGUUCAAAAGUUGAAAUUUUUCUACUUGAAAUGGAUUUUUCCAAUUUUUCUUGAUUUUCCGGCGGUGGUUGACGGCGGUGAACGGUGGUUCACGGCGGUGGUGGUGAUAUUGGCGGGGACGGCUCAAUCUUUUGUCUCACAAAUGGUACUUUUGUAUAUCAUUUUGAUUUUUAUUUUCACUUUAUUUUUCUACAAGGCAUUUUGGUUUUUGAUGUUGUUAUUAUUAUUAUUGUAGAAAAUUUGGAAUUAAUUGUAUUAUUACUUAUUAUCUUUGGUGAAUUUUCGGAAGAAAAAUAUACAAUUAAAUAGGAUUUAUGCAGCAUCAUCAAUAUUAUAA